rnacentral:rRNA from 1 species
CCCUUAGAUGUCCUGGGCCGCACGCGCGCUACACUGAACGGAUCAGCGCGUUUUCCCUUCCCGAGAGGGACGGGUAACCUGCUGAACCCCGUUCGUGGUAGGGAUCGGGGCUUGCAAUUAUUCCCCGUGAACCAGGAAUGCCCAGUAAGUGCAAGUCAUAAGCUUGCGUUGAUUACGUCCCUGCCCUUUGUACACACCGCCCGUCGCUACUACCGAUUUCGAGUGGUUCGGUGAACCUUUCGGACCGGCAAUGCCUCGUGUUGCGCCGGAAAGUCAAGUAAACCAUAUCACUUAGAGGAAGGAGAAGUCGUAACA